UCCGCUCCAGGUGGCACGGAACCUGGGUUGGCCAUCUCUACUCUGGGCAGCCUCCGACCCGGAAGGGGCGCGGGGAAAGAGGCUGUGCGCCUCUUGGUUAACGAGCUUCGGGGGUUGCGGCGGGUUAGUGACAGGCGCGCGCCUAGCGAUCGCCUGUGCCGUUUUGCUCGGGAGCGGUCGAACUAGCGCCCGUGUUGGUUGAAUCUGCAAAUGUGGAGCCCUCAGACACCAAGGGCCAACUAUGUUCUGGAAAAGCUGAAGAAAAGCCAAGGAACACCAGCCCUCUCUCUACCAGAUUUCUCUCCCUACCAUCCCCACAGAGGGAGUCCGGACACAGGAAGACGUGAUUUUCAAAGCCAAUUAUGAAAACAUUUGUCAUUGGAAUCAGCGGUGUGACAAAUGGUGGGAAGACAACACUGGCUAAGAAUUUGCAGAAACACCUUCCAAACUGCAGUGUCCUAUCUCAGGAUGAUUUUUUUAAGCCAGAGUCUGAGAUAGAGACAGAUGAAAAUGGAUUUCUGCAGUAUGAUGGUAAGUAGAUGAGCUUACAGAACACCCUGUGCUAAUGUUCAUUCCUUUUUCAAACCCAAAUAACUUUGCUAUCUCUGAAGAGAGUCUCAGAAUAAGUUUAAAUAUGUUGCUUUACUUUAAGCAUGCUUUUGUAAGGGUUUCUGAUAUAUGUUCAGCUGUUUAAAUAAAUGAAACCCUUUCCCUGGUUUUAUGGUUAAAACUGAAAACAUUGGAACAAUAGAUUUUUCUUUUGAAGGUGGGGCAAGGUAGGUCUCUAUUGUUCUGAUCCCUCCAUAGGACACAAACAGCUACCUAGACAAUCAUCUUUGUCCCAUCUUGCCUGGGUCAAACUCAGGACUGUGUCUCCUGACCUUACUUUCCCAGUGACCUAAGUACUGGGUCUUGUCACUGCUCAAAAAAGAUUAGUAAAUAUUUUUUAGAUGGAUUCACUUCAACCCCUUACCCACUCUAACACUGCUUUGAAGCCAAUAGGGUAAAGUCCAUCAGAAAAGCAUCUACUUAUACCUUUAAAGGAAUAUCAUGCUAGUAAACCAUAUAUAAUGGUCUUGUCAACUUUUAAUAAGAUCAUUGAGUACUUAUGCAAACUAGCUCUCUUAAAGAGCCAUGAGAUACAUUCCUUAUUUUUAACUUUGAGAACCUGGGAGGGAAAAUGUUGUGUAGUCAGUUCUUAGAGAAACAUGAUAGCUUUAAGAGAGGCAAAAUCUUUGACUGACUAUCUGCUCCUGUGUCUUGAAACAGUAUAUAUUUUUUUCUCUUCCCCUCUUCUAUUGGUUAGUGAGCAAGAUUAUUACAAAGUAAGAGUUAAGCAAGGAAAAAAUAUCUUCAAUAAUUGACAAAGAUUUAUUCCUAAUUUAAAUGAGUUCUUACAAACUGAAAAGAAAAACACUAAUAUCUCAAAUGAAAAAUGUCCAAUGAUGUGAAUAAGUUAUUCACAGAAGCAUAAGGUUACUUGAUUAAUGAAUGUACAAUAAAAAGUCAACCUCAGAAGUAGUUAAAGAAUUAAACUUAUUUUUUCCCACUUACCUAAUGAAUAGAUUUUUGAAGCAAUAAUAAUUAAUAAUAGCAUGGGCCCAUUAAUGUAACUUAUAUGUGGAUAUUAAUUGGUACAAUGUUUUUUGAAAAGGAGGUUGAGCAUAUGUCCCAAAGACCUUAAAAUAUUCAUGCCGUGUGUUCAAGUGUCCCACCUCCAGGAAUCUAUCUUAAGCAGAAUUCUGAGCUCUUUAGGUAAAUGUACAAGUUUAAAGUAAGUCAAGGUAAUGUUGAAAUCUUUAUAACUACCAAAAGAAUAGUUUUAAAGUAUAUAGCUAUCACUUUUAUAAAUAGAUGGAAUCAUUAAAAUAUAGCAAAAUAUAGCUGAUAAAUAUAAAAGAAGUAAAAAAUAGAGAACUAAAAUAUCAAACGAUGGUGGAAAAAUAGAAGAUGGCAUAAAAUGAUAGCUUUAAAUCAAAUAUAUCAGUAGCUGUAUUAAGUUAAAUCAACUAAACAUGUUAACAGGUUGUCAGACUUUGGAUGUUUUUAAGUCUUAAUACAUUUCAAUGUAUUGAAGUAACAUAGAGAUAUAUUCUAAUUACAGAGAACUGAAUUAGAAAUCAAUAACAAAAGACUAAGUAGAAAACUCCAAAGUGUUUGAAAAUCAGUGGGUUUUUUUUCUGAUUUUUAAAAACUUUUUGUUAUGGAGAAUUUUAAGCAGAUACAAAAGGAGGCCAAAAAAGUAUAAUGAACUCUCAUGAACUCACCAUUCUGCUUUUAAAAUGAACUCUUGGCCAAUUAUAUUUCAUCUAUACCCUUACCCACUUUCUCCUUCUGUAUUAUUUUGAAGCAGAUCCCAGACAUCAUCAUAUUUUAUCUGAAGCAAGACGCUUCAUUAUAUCCCAUGGGUCAAAGAACAAAUUACAAUGAAAAUUAGAAAAUAUUUUUAACCGAAUGUAAAGAAAAUAUGUUAAAAUUAAUGGUACUUCUUGUUCUACCCAAGAUGGCUUGGACCCAUUACUUGCUAUUUCUCCCUCUUAUAACUAAAAACCUUGGAUAGAAUACAACAAACAAAGACUCUGAAAGAUGAAGAGAGCAUAUUGACUAGGGACUUUGGAUCUUGAGGAAUGACAUUGCUGUGAGUUCCCUGGGCACUUUUUUUCUUUUUUGCCUGUCAUAUAUAUCUGGAAAAAGAUGGUAGAGAAGUGUGCUACAUGGAACCAUCAAUAGGUACAACUAAAAACCCCUAAGAAUUCUGUUCCUUUUCAGUUCAGUUCAGUUCGGUCACACAGUCAUGUGUGACUGUUU